AAAUAAUUCUGUUCUUUGGUUUUUGAUUUUUAUUGCACAUUUAUUUUCUGUGUACAUACAUUUUAUUAAGUCAUACACCUUACCACCAAGCCCACUUUGGAGAAUUUUGUAGAAUAGCCCUUCAUGCCAAAUAGAAUCAAAUGCUUUUUUAAAGUCAAUAAAGCAAGCAAAGAUUUUGCCCUCUUUUUUUGGUGGACGUGUUUAUUAAUUAGUGUGUGUAAGGUGUAUAUAUGGUCAGUAGUGUGAUGGUUAGGGAGAAAGCCAAUUUGACAUUUACUUAUUACAUUUUUUUCUUGAAGAAAGGUUUGAAUUCUUGAAUUCAAAAUGCUACAGAAAACCUUUCCCAAGUUACUGUUUACGCAAAUUCCCCUGUAAUUAUUGGGGUCUGAUUUGUCUCCACUUUUGUGGAUAGGGGAGAUGAGCCCCUGGUUCCAGACAUCAGGGAAGCAACCAGAAGUUAAAACCAUGUUGAACAAUUUAAGCACAGCAUUUUGCAACUCAGGUGUGCUGUUUUUCAGCAUUUCAUUUCUGGUGUUGUCUAGACCACAAGCCUUCUUUGAUUUAAUAGAUUUGAGCUUUUCAUGUAGUUCUUGUUGGGUUAUUGGGUCUAAUGGAUUUAGUUCUUGUUGGGUUAUUGGGUCUAAUGGAUUUAGUUCUUGUUGGGUUAUUGGGUAAUCUAAUGGAUUUAGUUCUUGUUGGGUUAUUGGGUCUAAUGGAUGUAGUUCUUGUUGGGUUAUUGGGUCUAAUGGAUGUAGUUCUUGUUGGGUUAUUGGGUCUAAUGGAUUUAGUUCUUGUUGGGUUAUUGGGUAAUCUAAUGGAUGUAGUUCUUGUUGGGUUAUUGGGUAAUCUAAUGGAUGUAGUUCUUGUUGGGUUAUUGGGUAAUCUAAUGGAUGUAGUUCUUGUUGGGUUAUUGGGUAAUCUAAUGGAUGUAGUUCUUGUUGGGUUAUUGGGUCUAAUGGAUGUAGUUCUUGUUGGGUUAUUGGGUCUAAUGGAUGUAGUUCUUGUUGGGUUAUUGGGUCUAAUGGAUGUAGUUCUUGUUGGGUUAUUGGGUCUAAUGGAUGUAGUUCUUGUUGGGUUAUUGGGUCUAAUGGAUUUUGGUUGUUUUUAAUGACUGAUUCAAGGAUGUUCAAUUUUUCUUUAAUUUCUAAUUGGUUCUGUUGUAAGUCUUUUUGUGGGAUGUUUUUGUAUAGAUUAUCAGAAUAUGUUUUCCAGAUUCCUACAUCUUGUCUGGCUGAUUCCUGUGGCUUUGUUGUGCUUAAAUUGUUCCACAUGUCCCAGAACUGAUUUUGGUCAAUUGCGUUUUCAAUUUCAUCAAGUGUCUUGUUGGUAUAAUUCAAUUUCUUGCGUUUCAGUGUUUGUUUAUACUGUUUCAGAGUUUCAAAGUAUUCAUAUCGUAGCUCUGGGUUGUUUUGCUGCUUAUGUUUUUCAUUUGACAUUUGUCUUAG
rnacentral:lncRNA from 1 species